CUACGGGGGGCAGCAGUGAGGAAUAUUGCACAAUGGGGGGAACCCUGAUGCAGCAACGCCGCGUGGAGGAUGACGCAUUUCGGUGUGUAAACUCCUUUUAUAUGUCAAGAAAAUGACGGUAGCAUAUGAAUAAGCGCCGGCUAACUCCGUGCCAGCAGCCGCGGUAAUACGGAGGGCGCAAGCGUUACUCGGAAUCACUGGGCGUAAAGGACGCGUAGGCGGGUUGAAAAGUCAGGUGUGAAAGCCUACAGCUUAACUGUAGAACUGCACUUGAAACUCUCAACCUAGAGUAUGGGAGGGGCAGAUGGAAUUAGUGGUGUAGGGGUAAAAUCCGUAGAUAUCACUAGGAAUACCUAAAGCGAAGGCGAUCUCCUGGAACACUACUGACGCUAAGGCGUGAAAGCGUGGGGAGCAAACAGGAUUAGAUACCCUAGUAGUC
rnacentral:rRNA from 1 species